CUCUUGGUGUCACCAGUGCAGACACCAGUCACGUCGCGGGAUCUCUGCGUUCGCCGCUUGGAGAUCAAGCUCGGGCAUCCUAUCGCAGACGACAUAACGACAAUCCGGUACGCGGUAUGCGGUCGACAUGCGAUAUGCAUUAUUCGUCGCUCAUAAGCCGCCGUGGGUGCUCACCACUUGCUAUUGUUUCGCAGAGCGACGAGCUCCGGGUUCCGAACCAGGGUGUAAGCCAUAUGCCAACGUUUGGCAGCUGAGAAGCAUACAGAGAAACACAUUGGAGCGCAUGGUCAGGGUUGUCGGGGAUGAUUCUACUCCUGGCAAGGGAGAUAUGUACUAGUGCACUGUUAUGCGUACGUGAUGUUGGUGCAUACGAGUGUUGCUGCAGGUGACAAUCACUGCAUGCCAUUGAUUCGUGUUAGUCGACAGUUAUUCUCGAGUGCAUUCUGAUCCUGCAUUCACCUGACUUAUGUUUGACUCUUUCUUCAGUUGUCUAUUUCUUUGUAGCACUUGAUAGCUGCUGCCCUGUGGUUCGGUGAGAACGAUUCUGUUCUGUAGCUUCUGCCUUCCCAGAUGCUUAAUUAGCUAAUAAUUAUAUCCUCGAUUUUGUAGUAUACUCUUUUUCCAGAGUUGAAUCGUUACUGAUCACGACCUGGCAAUCCUUCUGUAACAUUUGGUAUUCAUUCACACUUCUACCGGUAUAAUUUCUGUUGCUUGGCUAUGGUGUAACUGGCCAUGUGUGUACUGGAGCCAGCCAUAUUGGGCAGGUUCUUUUAUGCACAAAAUGCAGCCUGCUCCAUGACGGUCAGCAUGUCCACCGAGAGUUCAUCCCUCCAUGCUCAGCAGUCAACACUGACAGUUGCCAGUCGAACACAGCAGCAGACAGUGCUGCGAGAACUGCCAUCAAACUGACCCCUUGCAAUACGGUCAUACAACAUUUUCCCCCUGCAUUUUCUCAUCACAGCUCCCUACGUCAACCUGCCAGUCUCGACAACAGUUACACAGAAGCACAAUUGACACAGGGAUAAGCUUACCAGAAUCAUAUUGUUCCCAUCCACGAGGCAUGAGAGGUCGGUUUAGUUUCACAAGCAUGACUGUGUUGAAAGCGGCCA